UCCAAUGUGUGCUUGAAUGGGCUAUGCAUCCAAUUAUUUGGGGCAUCUAUGUCUCUAUCUUCAAUCGGGCCAUGUUUACAUCUCAGGAGAAGUCUUGUUUGAUGAAGGCCACUUCUCAUUUUCUUAUGCAGCCUUACCGUUACAACUACCAGUCCUCCGGUUUACCUAAUCCUGGUUUGCAUCGCUCAUCUCAUGCCUCACCAACGGUCGCGUCUUCUUCUUCCUCCUCCAACACAUCUCAAUCUUCUUCCUCUGACUAGUGCUCCUCUCUUGACUAUCGAGAAUCUCACUUAGAUGCUUGCUCGCCAUUCUCGGACUCAUGGUCACAAUUUCAUGGUGCUUGCUAAUCUCGGUCACUCGAUCUUUGCUUUAGCCUCCAGGUAUCAUUGAAACAUUUCAAGAAGCCAAGGAAGCUGUGGCGUCCUUCACCUCCAUCGAUAUUUAGUAAAUGUCCAAUGACCUUGGACACUAUAAAACAAUUAAAUGAAAUUAGCUCAUAAUUGGAUGAAACUAAACUUGGAAUUGCUAUGGCUAUGUUGAUGAAUGAUAAACAUAAACAAUUAAGUUUCUGUUACAUUGUAAGUGCAAGAAUAGAUUGGAUAAAGUCACUAGUUAAGGAGGGGAUGGAGGAGGGGAUUCAAAGGCUCAUUGACUACUCAUUGCUUGAUUCCAAUGAAGAUUGAUGUGCAUCCCAUAUAGCCAUGAGAUGGAAUCCUAAAAGACUACGGAGUUAGGACAUUUACAAAUUAUAAUAUUUAUAACAUAAUUUUAGUUAUUAUUUGU